UUCUAGGAAAACCAAAACAUGCUGAUCCUCAGUGGGCUUGUGCUGUGUCUGCCUCUGAAGUGCUGCUGCUGCCCCCAUUUCUGCCACCUCCCAAGUGCCAUCUCUUUUUUCAGCAUCUCCUAUGGCAUUUGGGCCUACAAGUUAGAACUUGAUCUCUUCUAACUCCUAUUACAACUAGUUGGGACUUCUAGUCUCUCCCACUAGACUGUACACUAGUUGGGGAGAGGAGGACAUGGCUGGUGGCUUUUUUAUCUCUGUGCUACCCACAGCACAGGUUUUGAACACGUAUCCUCAAUCAAAGUUGUGACAUUGAGUUGCAGUGAGAAUCUUACUAGGGCCACCUUUCUGGCUCCCAUCCCUCACCUCCAACCCUCACCCACCCUGUUUCUGCUCCUCUGCCCACUAAACUCUGCUGUUAUAAGAACUCUUAUAACCUAGUGGUUAAGGAAGGGUUGAGGAAUAUAUUGAAGCCAGAAGAAGGAGAAUUUACAAAAUGUGUUCCCAGUGUAAUUCCCCAUCAGAUUCCUUAGGGUACAUAUCUGAUCUAGUGCACUUAAAAUGCACAUUACCUUGGGAGUGUCACCUCCACUUUGGUGCCUCAUGUUCCAUUUAGACAUAUGACACUGGCACUGGGCUUUCCAUAGGUCUCAGGGCUGGGCCCAGACAGCCAGAAUUCCCUACCUCACCUCUCAAAAAGGCCCCGAGAGCUGCAAGACAAAUUAGAGCAGGUGUUGCCUCUAGGAAUGCAUGGGGCCAUAGAAGCACACACUACCACACACACACAAAAAUCCUUUCUAGAAUUGCAGACUGCCAACUGGUAAUCCAGCCUCUAUAUCCCCCCUGCCCUCCAGGAACAAGGAGCUCAGUGUCUUUCAAGAUAGUGUACUAGCAUGUCUUGCCUCCAUGAGUAGUCCAUUGGUGGCAGAGGUCAGCAUAAGUGUCCUCUGUCCCCAUUCAGGAUGCUCACCUCUGUUAACCUUGCCCGAGACUUGUCGGUGACCACAUCACACUGCCUUGACCUGACUGUCAACAAGCCCCCCAAAUAUCUAUGCAAGCACUGCCAAGUCUUCUCUGACCUGCCCCCAGUGGAUUUUUUAGACCCAAAUGUGUGUCCCCACAUUGAUCCUUGGUGCAUCUCACCUAUAAGUCCACAAGGAAGACACACAGGACCCAGUGGGAAAGCAGCCAGGUUGCAGUGCAACGAACUAGACUUGGAGUUGAAGGCCUGCACUUGAAUCUGGGUUCCCCCACCAUUUUCUAGCUGUGGGAUCAUGGACAAGACACUAUCUCUUUCUGAACAUUUGUUUAUCUUAUCUGGAAAUGGUUUAUUAUGAGGAUCUGAUGACCUAAUGGGUGCAGUAGUCACCUGAUCAACUGCAAAGACCUGAUGAAAGCAGCAGCUUGGCCAUAGGAGAAAAUAACUGGACUGGAGAACUUCCAACACCAAAUAUGGAAAGGAAC
rnacentral:lncRNA from 1 species